rnacentral:rRNA from 1 species
UACGUAGGGGGCAAGCGUUGUUCGGAAUUACUGGGCGUAAAGGGCGCGUAGGCGGCACGGCAAGUCAGGAGUGAAAGGCCUGGGCUCAACCGAGGAACUGCUUUUGAGACUGCCGAGCUAGAGUGCAGAAGGGGCAACUGGAAUUCCCAGUGUAGCGGUGAAAUGCGUAGAUAUUGGGAAGAACACCGGUGGCGAAGGCGGCGUUCUGGACUGUAACUGACACUGAUGAACGAAAGCCAGGGGAGCAAACGGG